rnacentral:rRNA from 1 species
GUAGGGGGCGAGCGUUGUCCGGAUUUACUGGGCGUAAAGAGCGUGUAGGCGGCCAGACAGGUCCGUUGUGAAAACUGGAGGCUCAACCUCCAGACGUCGACGGAAACCGUCUGGCUAGAGUCCGGAAGAGGAGAGUGGAAUUCCUGGUGUAGCGGUGAAAUGCGCAGAUAUCAGGAAGAACACCGAUGGCGAAGGCAGCUCUCUGGGACGGUACUGACGCUGAGACGCGAAAGCGUGGGGAGCGAACAGGAUUAGAUACCCUGGUAGUCCACGCCGUAAACGAUGGGUGCUAGGUGUGGGAGGUGUCGACUCCUUCCGUGCCGCAGCUAACGCAUUAAGCACCCCGCCUGGGGAGUACGGCCGCAAGGCUAAA